GGUGAGUAAUGCCUAGGAAUCUGCCUGGUAGUGGGGGAUAACGUCCGGAAACGGGCGCUAAUACCGCAUACGUCCUGAGGGAGAAAGUGGGGGAUCUUCGGACCUCACGCUAUCAGAUGAGCCUAGGUCGGAUUAGCUAGUUGGUGGGGUAAAGGCCUACCAAGGCGACGAUCCGUAACUGGUCUGAGAGGAUGAUCAGUCACACUGGAACUGAGACACGGUCCAGACUCCUACGGGAGGCAGCAGUGGGGAAUAUUGGACAAUGGGCGAAAGCCUGAUCCAGCCAUGCCGCGUGUGUGAAGAAGAUCUUCGGAUUGUAAAGCACUUUAAGUUGGGAGGAAGGGCAGUAAGUUAAUACCUUGCUGUUUUGACGUUACCAACAGAAUAAGCACCGGCUAACUUCGUGCCAGCAGCCGCGGUAAUACGAAGGGUGCAAGCGUUAAUCGGAAUUACUGGGCGUAAAGCGCGCGUAGGUGGUUCAGCAAGUUGGAUGUGAAAUCCCCGGGCUCAACCUGGGAACUGCAUCCAAAACUACUGAGCUAGAGUACGGUAGAGGGUGGUGGAAUUUCCUGUGUAGCGGUGAAAUGGGUAGAUAUAGGAAGGAACACCAGUGGCGAAGGCGACCACCUGGACUGAUACUGACACUGAGGUGCGAAAGCGUGGGGAGCAAACAGGAUUAGAUAUCCUGGUAGUCCACGCCGUAAACGAUGUCGAC
rnacentral:rRNA from 1 species